GACGAACGCUGGCGGCGUGCUUAACACAUGCAAGUCGAACGGACAGGCCCUGCUUUUGUGGGGUGCUCGAGUGGCGAACGGGUGAGUGACACGUGAGUAACCUGCCCUUGACUUUGGGAUAACUUCAGGAAACUGGGGCUAAUACCGGAUAGGAGCUCCUGCUGCAUGGUGGUGGUUGGAAAGUUUCGGCGGUUGGGGAUGGUUUCGCGGCUUAUGAGCUUGUUGGUGGGGUAGUGGCUUACCAAGGCUUUGACGGGUAGCCGGCCUGAGAGGGUGACCGGGGACAAGAGUACUGAGAGACGGAGCAGAAUGCAACGGGAGGCAGUAGUGGGGAACAUGGCACAAUGGGCGGGAGCCUGAGGUAGAGGCCCCGCGUGCGGGAAGACCUCCUUUGGGUGAUAAACAGCUUUCGAAUGUGACGAAGCGGGAGUGACGGUAAUGGGUAAAGAAGCACCGGCUAACUACGUG
rnacentral:rRNA from 1 species